AUGAACGCUGACAGAAUGCUUAACACCUUCCAGUCCUUGGCGAAGCUGCGCUUGCGCAGUCUAGCCAAGGCGGACGGGUGAGUAACGCGUAAGGAACUUGCCCUGCAGACAGGGAUAACAGACGGAAACGACUGAUAACACCUGGUAUUGUCAGGCUGGCGCAUGCCGGCCUGAUGAAAGGAGACGCUGCAGGAGAGCCUUGCGUCCUAUUAGCUAGGUGGUGGGGUAACGGCCCACCAAGGCGAUGAUAGGUAGCCGGCCUGAGGGGGUGAACGGCCACAAGGGGACUGAGAUACGGCACUUACUCCUACGGGAGGCAGCAGUGGGGAAUAUUGGACAAUGGGGGCAACUCUGAUCCAGCAAUUCUGUGUGCACGAAGAAGGUUUUCGGAUUGUAAAGUGCUUUCAGCAGGGAAGAAGAGAGUGACGGUACCUGCAGAAGAAGCGACGGCUAAAUACGUG
rnacentral:rRNA from 1 species